UUAGUGGCGGACGGGUGAGUAACGCGUGAGUAACCUGCCUUUGAGAGGGGAAUAACUUCCCGAAAGGGAUGCUAAUACCGCAUAACGCAUAGAAGUCGCAUGGUUUUUAUGCCAAAGAUUUAUCGCUCAAAGAUGGACUCGCGUCCGAUUAGCCAGUUGGCGGGGUAACGGCCCACCAAAGCGACGAUCGGUAGCCGGACUGAGAGGUUGAACGGCCACAUUGGGACUGAGACACGGCCCAGACUCCUACGGGAGGCAGCAGUGGGGGAUAUUGCGCAAUGGGGGGAACCCUGACGCAGCAACGCCGCGUGAAGGAUGAAGGUUUUCGGAUUGUAAACUUCUUUUAUUUAGGACGAACAAUGACGGUACUAAAUGAAUAAGCUCCGGCUAACUACGUGCCAGCAGCCGCGGUAAUACGUAGGGAGCAAGCGUUAUCCGGAUUUACUGGGUGUAAAGGGUGCGUAGGCGGCUUGAUAAGUCAGAUGUGAAAUGUAUGGGCUCAACCCAUGCACUGCAUUUGAAACUAUUGAGCUUGAGUGAAGUAGAGGUAGGCGGAAUUCCCUGUGUAGCGGUGAAAUGCGUAGAGAUAGGGAGGAACACCAGUGGCGAAGGCGGCCUACUGGGCUUUAACUGACGCUGAGGCACGAAAGCGUGGGUAGCAAACAGGAUUAGAUACCCUGGUAGUCCACGCUGUAAACGAUGAUUACUAGGUGUGGGGGGUCUGACCCCUUCCGUGCCGGAGUUAACACAAUAAGUAAUCCACCUGGGGAGUACGACCGCCAAGGGUUGAAAACUCAAAGGAAUUGACGGGGGCCCGCACAAGCAGUGGAGUAUGUGGUUUAAUUCGAAGCA
rnacentral:rRNA from 1 species